CAGUUCUCCAGCAAAAUCCCCAAAAGCGUUGCGUUGGCGUAUUCUAAACUUUGCGCUACUUUUUGCCGAAGCUAAAGUCAUUAUCAUUAAAGCCAUACUUUGCUGCUUGCUGCCGAAACUUUCACUUGGCGAGCAGGGCGAAGCGGAGCGGAAAAUAUUGUAAAUUGUAUCUAACAGAUACUUUAUCGAGCCGAAACAGAAACUUCUGCCAUUGUCCGCGAGCGACAAAACUGACACACAUGUGGGGAUAUUCACAGGACCGAGGGUCUGAAGGGCUGGAAAUUACAUGCCAAGAUAAUGAGAGUAUAACUGGGCGUGGCCGCAACUUAUUCUUCGACUGCGCAGACUAUCCAGAACUUUUUGGAAAAGUUUUGCGAUUCUGCAGCAUGCUAAAUUUGGGGAGAAAAGUGUGGUAAAAAGUACAUGUAUAUCUCAAACGAUGCACACUUGCAAACGGUCGUCCGAUUGGAAAAUGUUUUCUUUAGAACUAAUAAACGUGCAAUAAAUUG
ensembl:ncRNA lncRNA:CR45254 long non-coding RNA:CR45254